GAUCUGUUCAAAAUAAGUCACAUGUACAACAUAAUCUUUUAUGAAAAUAACACAGAACUAACUAAAUAAAUGCAGUUCGAUUAACUGUAAACGCAGUGUCCUGUAAAACAUCCACAAAAAUAUUAUUAAACUUACAAGCAUAAGUUAAAGGGUCUUUCUAAGCAAUAUCACUGCAGCCAGCAGAGUCUGGGUCACAGCCAAU